UUUUGUUCUAUACGGACCUCUCACUCUCACUCACCAUUAAAGAGUGAUUGUUGACAAGCGUGAAUUGCAUCGUAAUUCGUUCGGCAUUGCUAAGUGUUUUUAUUCAAUUAUUACAACAUAAACGUAUUAUUUUUGACUUAACAUACUGGUUGAAACUAUAAUUAAUAGUAUUUGUGAUUCUUACUAUUCAGUUAGUUAUCAAGAAUUUAAUUGCCGAACAAAUAAACUUGAUUCAACACAAGAUGUAAAAGUAAGAAACUAAAAGUAGAAAGAGGAUAAUAUCAUCGUCAAGUUCUUCUGAUAAUGAGAUAGCGGAAUAAAUAAUAUACCAAUGCCACCCGCCACGUACGUGAGCCAAAAGGAUCAGCAACCACUACCAACAUUUAAAACUCCUAUAUCAUUAC